AUACAGAGGGUGCGAGCGUUAAUCGGAAUUACUGGGCGUAAAGCGCGCGUAGGCGGUCUAUUAAGUCAGAUGUGAAAUCCCAGGGCUCAACCUUGGAACUGCAUCUGAUACUGGUAGACUAGAGUUUUGGAGAGGGAAGUAGAAUUUCGGGUGUAGCGGUGAAAUGCAUAGAGAUCUGAAGGAAUACCAGUGGCGAAGGCGACUUCCUGGCCAAAAACUGACGCUGAGGUGCGAAAGCGUGGGUAGCAAACGGGAUUAGAUACCCCAGUAGUCC
rnacentral:rRNA from 1 species